CCCGCCACUGUUAAUUCUUCCUCUUGGAGGGAGGGAGAGAGAGAGAAGAAAAGGGUGUUGUUCUGAGUCCUGCCUCUUCUCUUAUCUGAAAAUGGGCAAUUUCAGGUUUCACCAAUAUCAGGUGGUCGGGAGAGCGCUCCCUUCCGAGACUGAUCAGCAUCCGAAGAUCUACAGGAUGAAGCUCUGGGCCACGAACGAGGUUCGCGCCAAGUCGAAGUUCUGGUACUUCUUGAGGAAGCUCAAGAAAGUCAAGAAGAGUAAUGGGCAAGUACUGGCAAUCAACGAGGUAUUUG